AGGACAAACGCUGGCGGCGUACUUAAGACAUGCAAGUCGAACGGGCGCUUCACCUUCGGGUGGGUGUGCUAGUGGCGGACGGGUGAGUAACGCGUAGGAACCUGUCAUCAAGAGGGGGAUAACGCUGGGAAACCGGCGCUAAUACCGCAUGUGGUCAUGAAAAUGAAGAAAGCAGCAAUGCGCUUGAUGAGGGGCCUGCGUCCGAUUAGCUUGUUGGUGGGGUAAAGGCCUACCAAGGCAUCGAUCGGUAGCUGGUCUGAGAGGAUGGUCAGCCACACUGGGACUGAGACACGGCCCAGACUCCUACGGGAGGCAGCAGUUAGGAAAUUUUCCCAAUGGGCGCAAGCCUGAGGGAGUAACGCCGCGUGGAGGAUGACGGCUUUCGGGUUGUAAACUCCUUUCUGUGGAGAGUAGAAGACGGUACCGCAGGAAUAAGCCUCGGCUAACUACGUGCCAGCAGCCGC
rnacentral:rRNA from 1 species